GACGAACGCUGGCGGCGUGCUUAACACAUGCAAGUCGAACGGUGAAGCCCUUCGGGGUGGAUCAGUGGCGAACGGGUGGGUAACACGUGAGCAACCUGCCCCUGGCUCUGGGACAACCACUGGAAACGGUGGCUAAUACCGGAUACGACCCGCCUCGGCAUCGAGUGUGGGUGGAAAGUUUUUCGGCUGGGGAUGGGCUCGCGGCCUAUCAGCUUGUUGGUGAGGUGAAGGCUCACCAAGGCGACGACGGGUAGCCGGCCUGAGAGGGCGACCGGCCACACUGGGACUGAGACACGGCCCAGACUCCUACGGGAGGCAGCAGUGGGGAAUAUUGCACAAUGGGCGAAAGCCUGAUGCAGCGACGCCGCGUGAGGGAUGACGGCCUUCGGGUUGUAAACCUCUUUCAGCUCCGAAGAAGCGAAAGUGACGGUAGGAGCAGAAGAAGCACCGGCUAACUACGUG
rnacentral:rRNA from 1 species